rnacentral:antisense_RNA from 1 species
CUUCAACGACCCCAGAUACAGCGGGACCUCACGGUCUUGGCCGUAGGUCGCCAACAACGCCUGCGCCUC